UCCCGAGAUACUUUCUUUCUUUUUUGCGCAAAACUUCAUCUCCAUUGCCAAUCGGUUCAGUCGUGUUGAGGUGGUUGGGUAGAGCUUUUCUUCCCGUUUCAAGUUGUUUGCCUUUCUCAUUCACUAUAACUUCGCACAUUUCUCAGAAGCAGAAGUCUCAGAAGCAGCAUUUCUCACCGUCUUCGUACAUCAAAGAGCUUUUCAGCGUCGUCUUCCUCACUUUCAAUGGCUCGAGAGCUCAUCCUUCACCAUCAUAGAGCAUCUUCCUCACUUUCAGGGAUCCAUGGUUCCUUCACGGUUUUCCAUCGAUUAAACAAGUUCUCUUGAGGGGCGUGUGCUACCAGGGAACAACUCUUACAACUCAGAGAGGGAAAAAAAAGGUAAAUGCAAGGCAAUGCAAUAGAGGAAUCUGUCUGCAAAAUCCAACCUCUGCAGCAAAAAGUACAAUAGUUUAGACUUUAAGAUAGUGAGACCAGUAUGGAGCGGUCUACAGAUGCUUUCAAGGAAACUCAUAAUAUAACCCUGUCUACCGAAGAUACUUUAUUUGGGGGUCUGGUGUCAAACCUUCAGGAUCAUUGCCAAUCUAAUUUUGUAAAAGUUUAUACUGGAAAUUGAGGAUCAUGCUAAUGAGUGUCCUGAAUGGGAGUGCAUUAGUAGAAUCCAAUACUACAAUUGCUCAUAAAACCUUUUGUGCUUUUAAUUCCUUAACCACUGAAUAUGGAUUAUCAUUCUCUGUAUUCAAGAAUAGGAGUAUUUAUCAUGUCUGGCAGNUNUUAUAAUCUUUGCAACCAAGAAAAGCCACAUUUACUGNAGAUACUUCGGUGGGGUAAGUAUUGAAACUUUAGUAACAAUUCCCAAGGAACCUUCACUUCCUACAUCAUCCGUAAUUUAAUUUACAAUCAAAUAUUUUACUUGUUUCGAGAUUCAACGUGUUGUUCACCCCAUACUUGGGUCUAUUGAGAGCUCGNAUGUACCCUUUGNUGUCCAUAAAGUCUCUCCUGUUUCUAUUUCAAAGGCCAUAAAAAAUGAAUCAGAGUUAGAAGGGAUGCAAAAUUGCCAUUUAAGGGAUGCUGCUGCCCUUGCUCAGUUCUGGGAUUGGUUAGAAACAGAAAUUACCAAAGAUAGAACAUUGACAGAAGUAAAGGUUUCGGAUAAACAGAAAUUAUCUGGAAGGUAUUCAUUGUUAAAGUGAAAGUGAUGUGCCAAUACAUGCAAUUGGAAGAAGGGCUACCACUGAGAUGGAGAAAUCAGUGUUAAGUUCAUAAAAUUACAUUGGCUAAUUGAUUUGUCAUAAAUAUUAACAGAUUUAUUUAUUAGAGAUAAAAGGUGAUAUAUUAGACUUUUUCUAAUUUAUUUUUCAUAAAUAUUAACAGUUAAGUACAUGAAAAUCCAAAGUGUUUAUCUUUUCUCUUA